rnacentral:rRNA from 1 species
UGUGAACGCGAAAGACCCUUACCCUACCCUUGACAUGUACGGAACCCUGCUGAGAGGUGGGGGUGCCCGAAAGGGAGCCGUAACACAGGUGCUGCAUGGCUGUCGUCAGCUCGUGUCGUGAGAUGUUGGGUUAAGUCCCGCAACGAGCGCAACCCUUGUCCCUAGUUGCUACGCAAGAGCACUCCAGGGAGACUGCCGGUGACAAACCGGAGGAAGGUGGGGAUGACGUCAAGUCCUCAUGGCCCUUAUGGGUAGGGCUUCACACGUCAUACAAUGGUCGGAACAGAAGGGUGCCAAGCCGCGAGGUGGAGCCCAUCCCAGAAAAACCGAUCGUAGUCCGGAUCGCAGUCUGCAACUCGACUGCGUGGAGCUGGAAUCGCUAGUAAUCGCGGAUCAGCAUGCCCCCGGUGAAUACGUUCCCCGGUCUUGUACACACGCAAAA